ensembl:lincRNA 1700057H21Rik RIKEN cDNA 1700057H21 gene
AGAUGCAAUCCCUUCCACUAUGCCUGAGAACAUGGGGUCACACUCAGCAGUCACAACAUCUAGAAAUGUAUUGAUCCUACUGUUAAGAUCCUGCUACUGCACUGAACAUGCUGGAACAAGGCUGACCCAUCCUUCUUAGAAGGAGAUACUGAGGAGACCAGGUCUGCACCACAAGAAGAUGAAAGGGCGACCCUUGAAAAUCAUGUCUGUGGAGUUUAUUUUAAACAGUUCAAACUUUUCUGGCUCUAAAACAUAGAAGUCAUAUUAAAAAUUAAAAAGUAGAAGUUCUAUUUACAUGGCAAUUCUUGCUCCUGUAUGGAACUGCAGAGGAAAGCAGUCUUGUGA